rnacentral:lncRNA from 1 species
GAGCCAUCUAGCAGGUCUAUCUUCUAUUCUACUCUAUUCUUUGCUUUAUUUAGUCCGUAGGUCUGUUAUGUUUUCAACACACAGUCUUUCUCUGCUUUCCUCAAUUAGCCCUUGGUUGGUUGGUUGCAGUUCUUCCUCCAAGGGUUCCCCAGGAGGAGCUUGAAGCGAUGUGGGGAGGCGGGAGAUACAUCUUCUAUGCACACAAAGGACCUAGCCAAAGCCCUGACCUUCAGCUGAUUUCAGCCGUCAAAACACAGCUUGAGUCUGUGAUGGAGGAGGAUGUGUCCAGAAUGCACAGCUUGGAGACCAGCCUGCUCACCUGGCCAAACUUCUAUUCCUGGAGGAUCUUCCUGGCUAAACCCAUUGACCCAAGGAGGUCCAGAAACAUGAGGCACAGAGAUAGCCUAGCUGACCUGAAGAUCUACAGCAAGAAAUAGAGCAGAGCCACCCAGCCCAGCUCAAUCAGAUGAACCCAGCCAACCUACAAGUGUGAAUGGAGACUGUUAAGCUUUGAGGAUGACUGUCACACAGCAGUACUGUUGCCAUUUCUGAAUUGUCACUUGUGGGGAUUUAGUUUGAGUGUCUGUGUCCCUAGCAAAACUCUUAAGGGCUCCAAUGAAAAGAUGACCUACUUCCUGGUUGGGCCACCGCCUUCCCAGGCCCAGGCUGGGACUUCCUCUCCCACAGCCACACAGUAAGGGGCACAGAACCAUGCCCAUGGAGUGGCCAGGAGCCAUGCAAAUGAUACUCAUGGCUUCUUACAUUAACCAAGCCCUCUUUUCCCCUGCCACACCCGGUCUCCAAAAUAUCUCCAGCUUUUCACAAUUAGCACUGAGCCAUAGACCCAGGAGUCCCUUCAUAGCUAUUAUUUGAAUAAAUGAAUCCGUGG